UGGCUCAGAUGGGAAAGUAUCUGCCUGCAAUGCAGGAGACCCUGGUUCGAUCCCAGG
rnacentral:tRNA from 1 species